ACACGACCGUACCGCAAACCGACACUGGUGCGCGAGAUGAGUAUUCUCAGGCGCUUGAGAGAACUCGGGAGAAGGAACUCGGCAAAUUGACACCGUAACUUCGGAAGAAGGUGUGCCUUUAGUAGGUGAACCUGUACAAGGGGAGCCCAAUGAGGUUGCAAAAAAUCGGUGGCUGCGACUGUUUAAUAAAAACACAGCACUCUGCAAACACGAAAGUGGACGUAUAGGGUGUGACGCCUGCCCGGUGCUGGAAGAUUAAGUGAUGGGGUGCAAGCUCUUGAUCGAAGUCCCAGUAAACGGCGGCCGUAACGAUAACGGUCCUAAGGUAGCGAAAUUCCUUGUCGGGUAAGUUCCGACCUGCACGAAUGGCGUAACGAUGGCCACACUGUCUCCUCCCGAGACUCAGCGAAGUUGAAAUGUUUGUGAUGAUGCAAUCUCCCCGCGGAAAGACGGAAAGACCCCAUGAACCUUUACUGUAGCUUUGUAUUGGACUUUGAACGGAUCUGUGUAGGAUAGGUGGGAGGCUUUGAAGCAGGGUCGCUAGAUCUUGUGGAGCCAACGUUGAAAUACCACCCUGGUGCGUUUGAGGUUCUAACCUAGGCCCGUUAUCCGGGCCGGGGACAGUGCAUGGUAGGCAGUUUGACUGGGGCGGUCUCCUCCCAAAGCGUAACGGAGGAGUUCGAAGGUACGCUAGUUACGGUCGGACAUCGUGACGAUAGUGCAAUGGCAUAAGCGUGCUUAACUGCGAGACUGACAAGUCGAGCAGAUGCGAAAGCAGGACAUAGUGAUCCGGUGGUUCUGUAUGGAAGGGCCAUCGCUCAACGGAUAAAAGGUACUCUGGGGAUAACAGGCUGAUACCGCCCAAGAGUUCAUAUCGACGGCGGUGUUUGGCACCUCGAUGUCGGCUCAUCUCAUCCUGGGGCUGUAGCCGGUCCCAAGGGUAUGGCUGUUCGCCAUUUAAAGAGGUACGUGAGCUGGGUUUAAAACGUCGUGAGACAGUUUGGUCCCUAUCUUCCGUGGGCGCUGCAGAUUUGAGGAAGCCUGCUCCUAGUACGAGAGGACCGGAGUGGACGCACCUCUGGUGUACCUGUUGUCACGCCAGUGGCAUUGCAGGGUAGCUAAGUGCGGAAGAGAUAACCGCUGAAAGCAUCUAAGCGGGAAACUCGUUUCAAGAUGAGAUCUGCCGGGGCCUUGAGCCCCCUGAAGAGUCGUUCUAGACCAGGACGUUGAUAGGUCAGGUGUGGAAGCGCAGUAAUGCGUUAAGCUAACUGAUACUAAUUGCUCGUGCGGCUUGACCCG
rnacentral:rRNA from 1 species